rnacentral:rRNA from 1 species
GCUGCAGACGCUAUGACUGGCCGACGCUUUCAGGUCGGGAACAAUUAUGCACUUGGAUCCAGGACUUUGAUCCCUGGCUCGGGACGAACGCUGGCGGCGUGCUUAACACAUGCAAGUCGAACGGGAGGAAAAGAGAAGCUUGCUUCUUUUUGAAUCUAGUGGCAAACGGGUGAGUAACACGUAAACAACCUGCCUUCAGGAUGGGGACAACAGACGGAAACGACUGCUAAUACCGAAUGUGUUCCGGAGACCGCAUGAUUUCCGGAAGAAAGGAUGGCCUCUAUUUAUAAGCUAUCGCCUGAAGAGGGGUUUGCGUCUGAUUAGGCAGUUGGUGAGGUAACGGCCCACCAAACCUACGAUCAGUAGCCGGUCUGAGAGGAUGAACGGCCACACUGGAACUGAGACACGGUCCAGACUCCUACGGGAGGCAGCAGUGGGGAAUCUUCCGCAAUGGACGAAAGUCUGACGGAGCAACGCCGCGUGAGUGAUGACGGCCUUCGGGUUGUAAAGCUCUGUGAUCGGGGACGAAUGGCUGGUAUGCUAAUACCAUAUCAGAGUGACGGUACCCGAAUAGCAAGCCACGGCUAACUACGUGCCAGCAGCCGCGGUAAUACGUAGGUGGCAAGCGUUGUCCGGAAUUAUUGGGCGUAAAGCGCGCGCAGGCGGCUUCUUAAGUCCAUCUUAAAAGUGCGGGGCUUAACCCCGUGAUGGGAUGGAAACUGGGAGGCUGGAGUAUCGGAGAGGAAAGUGGAAUUCCUAGUGUAGCGGUGAAAUGCGUAGAGAUUAGGAAGAACACCGGUGGCGAAGGCGACUUUCUGGACGACAACUGACGCUGAGGCGCGAAAGCGUGGGGGAGCAAACAGGAUUAGAUACCCUGGUAGUCCACCGCCGUAAACGAU